GAUGAAGAACGCAGCGAAAUGCGAUAAGUAAUGUGAAUUGCAGAAUUCAGUGAAUCAUCGAAUCUUUGAACGCACAUUGCGCCCGCCAGUAUUCUGCGGGCAUGCCUGUUCGAGCGUCAUUUCAACCAUCAAGCCCCCGGCUUGUGUUGGGGACCUGCGGCUGCCGCAGGCCCUGAAAAGCAGUGGCGGGCUCGCUGUCACACCGAGCGUAGUAGCAUACAUCUCGCUCUGGGCGUGCUGCGGGUUCCGGCCGUUAAACCACCUUCAUAACCCAAGGUUGACCUCGGAUCAGGUAGGAAGACCCGCUGAACUUAAGCAUAUCAAUAAGCGGAGGA
rnacentral:misc_RNA from 1 species